rnacentral:sRNA from 1 species
ACAGUUGGAAUCCCUCCUUGGGGUGUCAUUGAGAACCAGAGAGACCUUAUUGGAAAAGAUGUGGUGUGCCUGUAUCAGACUCUGGAUAACCCCCUCAGCAAGCUCACAACACUCAACAGCAUGCACUCGCACUUCAUCCUGUCUGAUGACGGGACCGUGGGCAAGUAUGGAAAUGAAAUGAAGCUCAGAAGGAACCUGGAGAAAUACCUCUCUCUGCAGAAAAUACACUGCCGCUCAAGACAAGGCGUGCCGGUGGUGGGGCUGGUGGUGGAAGGCGGUCCCAACGUCAUCCUGUCAGUGUGGGAGACUGUCAAGGACAAGGACCCGGUGGUGGUGUGUGAGGGCACAGGCAGGGCGGCUGACCUCCUGGCCUUCACACACAAACACCUGGCAGAUGAAGGGAUGCUGCGACCUCAGGUGAAAGAGGAGAUCAUCUGCAUGAUUCAGAACACUUUCAACUUUAGUCUUAAACAGUCCAAGCACCUUUUCCAAAUUCUAAUGGAGUGUAUGGUUCACAGGGAUUGUGUGAGUAUGAGGAGUUGAUGAUUCAACUGACUUAAGAACUGCUAAUUUAUAAACAUUGUAAUAUUUAUUUUC